CUAAGUGCAUGUGGCGGAUGCCUUGGCGAUCACAGGCGAAGAAAGACGCGGCAGCCUGCGAAAAGCUGCGGGGAGCUGGCAAACGAGCUUUGAUCCGCAGAUAUCUGAAUGGGGGAACCCACACCGCAAGGUGUAUCCGUAGCUGAAUACAUAGGUUACGGAGGCGAACGAGGAGAACUGAAACAUCUAAGUAUCCUCAGGAAAAGAAAUCAACCGAGAUUCCGGCAGUAGCGGCGAGCGAACCCGGAGGAGCCCAGCUUUUGAUAGUACGAACUUUAGCCGAAAGGUCCUGGAAAGGCCUGCUAUAGUGGGUGAUAGCCCCGUAGGCGAAAGAGUUGGUACGGUACUAAGGAAGCGAGAAGUAGAGCGGGACACGUGGAAUCCUGUUCGAAGACGGGGGGACCAUCCUCCAAGGCUAAAUACUCGUGAUCGACCGAUAGUGAACCAGUACCGUGAGGGAAAGGCGAAAAGAACCCCGGGAGGGGAGUGAAAUAGAACCUGAAACCGCAUGCAUACAAACAGUAGGAGCCUCGUCAGAGGUGACUGCGUACCUUUUGCAUAAUGGGUCAGCGACUUACAUUCUGUGGCGAGCUUAACCGAAUAGGGGAGGCGCAGCGAAAGCGAGUUCGAAAUGAGCGUUCAGUCGCAGGGUGUAGACCCGAAACCAGAUGAGCUAUCCAUGGCCAGGUUGAAGGUGUGGUAACACACACUGGAGGACCGAACCGACUAGUGUUGCAAAAUUAGCGGAUGAGCUGUGGAUAGGGGUGAAAGGCCAAACAAAUCUGGAGAUAGCUGGUUCUCCCCGAAAACUAUUGAGGUAGUGCCUCGUGUGUCGCUCCAGGGGGUAGAGCACUGUUUUGGCUAGGGGGACAUGGAGUCUUACCAAACCAAGGCAAACUCCGAAUACCUGGAAGCGUAAGCACGGGAGACAGAGCACCGGGUGCUAACGUCCGGACUCAAAAGGGAAACAACCCAGACCGCCGGCUAAGGUCCCAAAUAACAGCUAAGUGGAAAACGAAGUGGAAAGGCCGUGACAACCAGGAAGUUGGCUUAGAAGCAGCCAUCCUUCAAAGAAAGCGUAAUAGCUCACUGGUCGAGUCCUUCUGCGCGGAAGAUGUAACGGGGCUAAGCUGUUAACCGAAGCCGCGGAUGCGCUGGUUAUCCAGUGCGUGGUAGGGGAGCGUUCUGUAAGUCUGCGAAGGCGGUUCGAGAGGACUGCUGGAGAUAUCAGAAGUGCGAAUGCUGACAUGAGUAACGUUAAAGCAGGUGAAAAGCCUGCUCGCCGUAAGCCCAAGGAUUCCUGCUCUACGUUCAUCGGAGCAGGGUGAGUCGGCUCCUAAGGUCAGGCCGAAAGGCGUAGCCGAUGGGAAUCAGGUUAAUAUUCCUGAACCUGCGUCAGAUGCGAUGGGGGGACGGAGCAUGGAAGAUCAUCCGGGUGUUGGAAGUCCCGGUUGUUUAGCGUAGGAGGUCUGCAGGCAAAUCCGCAGACGCAUCUCCAAGGCAAAGACACGUGCCGCCACGGCGGCGAAGUGAUCGGAAGUGCUUCCAAGAAAAGCCUCUAAGCACCAGUCUGAUGCGGACCGUACCGCAAACCGACACUGGUGGGCGAGCUGAAUAUGCUCAGGCGCUUGAGAGAACUCGGGAGAAGGAACUCGGCAAAUUGACACCGUAACUUCGGAAGAAGGUGUGCCGUAGUACCGUGAGAGGAGAGACACCUUGAGCGGGAAACGGUCUCAGAGAAUAGGUGGCUGCGACUGUUUAUUAAAAACACAGCACUCUGCAAAGUCGAAAGACGACGUAUAGGGUGUGAUGCCUGCCCGGUGCUGGAAGAUUAAUUGAUGGGGUGAGAGCCCUUGAUCGAAGUCCCAGUAAACGGCGGCCGUAACUAUAACGGUCCUAAGGUAGCGAAAUUCCUUGUCGGGUAAGUUCCGACCUGCACGAAUGGCAUAACGAUGGCCACACUGUCUCCUCCCGAGACUCAGUGAAGUUGAAAUGUUUGUGAUGAUGCAAUCUACCCGCGGCUAGACGGAAAGACCCCAUGAACCUUUACUGCAGCUUUGCAUUGAACUGUGAACCGAUUUGUGUAGGAUAGGUGGGAGGCAGAGAAGAGGCCACGCCAGUGGUCUUGGAGCCGACCUUGAAAUACCACCCUGAUUUGUUUGCGGUUCUAACCACGGACAGUGAUCCUGUCUUGGGACCGUGCAUGGUAGGCAGUUUGACUGGGGCGGUCUCCUCCUAAAGGGUAACGGAGGAGUACGAAGGUACGCUAGGUACGGUCGGAAAUCGUGCUGAUAGUGCAAUGGCAAAAGCGUGCUUGACUGCGAGAGCAACAACUCGAGCAGAUGCGAAAGCAGGUCAUAGUGAUCCGGUGGCUCUGAAUGGAAGGGCCAUCGCUCAACGGAUAAAAGGUACUCUGGGGAUAACAGGCUGAUACCGCCCAAGAGUUCAUAUCGACGGCGGUGUUUGGCACCUCGAUGUCGGCUCAUCUCAUCCUGGGGCUGUAGUCGGUCCCAAGGGUAUGGCUGUUCGCCAUUUAAAGAGGUACGUGAGCUGGGUUUAAAACGUCGUGAGACAGUUUGGUCCCUAUCUGCCGUGGGCGUUGGAAGAUUGACGGGGGCUGCUCCUAGUACGAGAGGACCGGAGUGGACGCACCUCUGGUGUACCGGUUGUCACGCCAGUGGCAUUGCCGGGUAGCUAAGUGCGGAAGAGAUAACCGCUGAAAGCAUCUAAGCGGGAAACUUGCCUGAAGAUGAGUCUUCCCGGAGGUUGAACCUCCCUCAAGAGUCGUCCGAGACCAGGACGUCGAUAGGUCAGGUGUGUAAGCGCUGUAAGGCGUUGAGCUAACUGAUACUAAUUGCUCGUGAGGCUUGAUC
rnacentral:rRNA from 1 species